AUUGAACGCUGGCGGAAUGCUUUACACAUGCAAGUCGAACGGCAGCACGGGGCAACCUGGUGGCGAGUGGCGAACGGGUGAGUAAUACAUCGGAACGUGCCCAAUCGUGGGGGAUAACGUAGCGAAAGUUACGCUAAUACCGCAUACGAUCUACGGAUGAAAGCGGGGGAUCGCAAGACCUCGCGCGAAUGGAGCGGCCGAUGUCAGAUUAGGUAGUUGGGUGGGGUAAAAGGCUCACCAAGCCGACGAUCUGUAGCUGGUCUGAGAGGACGACCAGCCACACUGGGACUGAGACACGGCCCAGACUCCUACGGGAGGCAGCAGUGGGGAAUUUUGGGACAAUGGGCGCAAGCCUGAUCCAGCCAUUCCGCGUGCAGG
rnacentral:rRNA from 1 species